GAUGAACGCUGGCGGCGUGCCUAAUACAUGCAAUUCGAGCGAACAGACGAGGAGCUUGCUCCUCUGACGUUAGCGGCGGACGGGUGAGUAACACGUGGAUAACCUACCUAUAAGACUGGGAUAACUUCGGGAAACCGGAGCUAAUACCGGAUAAUAUAUUGAACCGCAUGGUUCAAUAGUGAAAGACGGUUUUGCUGUCACUUAUAGAUGGAUCCGCGCCGCAUUAGCUAGUUGGUAAGGUAACGGCUUACCAAGGCAACGAUGCGUAGCCGACCUGAGAGGGUGAUCGGCCACACUGGAACUGAGACACGGUCCAGACUCCUACGGGAGGCAGCAGUAGGGAAUCUUCCGCAAAGGGCGAAAGCCUGACGGAGCAACGCCGCGUGAGUGAUGAAGGUCUUCGGAUCGUAAAACUCUGUUAUUAGGGAAGAACAAAUGUGUAAGUAACUAUGCACGUCUUGACGGUACCUAAUCAGAAAGCCACGGCUAACUACGUG
rnacentral:rRNA from 1 species